ACUCAAAUGAAUUGACGGGGACCCGCACAAGCGGUGGAGCAUGUGGUUUAAUUCGACGGUAAGCGAGGAACCUUACCAAGGCUUGACAUGUACCUGCAUCUCCUGGAAACAGGAGCGCCUUCGAGGGUGGUACACAGGUGCUGCACGGUUGUCGUCAGCUCGUGUCGUGAGAUGUGCACUUAAGUGUGCGAACGAGCGCAACCCCUAUUGUUGGUUACAAGUGUCCAGCGAGACUGCCAGGGUUUAACCUGGAGGAAGGUGGGGAUGACGUCAAAUCAGCGUGGCUCUUACGCCUUGGGCUACACACGUGCUACAAUGGACAGUCACAAAGGGACGCCAAGGAGCAAUCCGGAGCAAAUCCCAUCAAAACUGUCCCCAGUUCAGAUUGAGGGCUGCAACUCGCCCUCAUGAAGCCGGAAUCGCUAGUAACCGUAGAUCAGCCUCGCUACGGUGAAUACGUUCUCGGGUUUUGUACACACCGCCCGU
rnacentral:rRNA from 1 species